rnacentral:rRNA from 1 species
AUUGAACGCUGGCGGCAUGCUUUACACAUGCAAGUCGAACGGCAGCGCGGUCUUCGGCCUGUCUUCGAGUGGCGAACGGGUGAGUAAUACAGCGGAACGUGCCCAUCUGUUGGGUCUAGCUCGGCGAAAGCGGGAUUAAUACCGCAUACGACCAGAGGGUGAAAGCGGGGGAUCUUCGGACCUUCCGCUAUUGGAGCGUCCGAUGGCAGAUUAGCUAGUUGGUGGGGUAAAGGCCUACCAAGGCGACGAUCCGUAGCUGGUCUGUGAGGACGAUCAGCCACACUGGGACUGAGACACGGCCCAGACUCCUACGGGAGGCAGCAGUGGGGAAUUUUGGACAAUGGGCGAAAGCCUGAUCCAGCAAUGCCGCGUGUGUGAUGAAGGCCUUCGGGUUGUAAAGCACUUUUGGCGGGAACGAAAAGCACUGUGCUAAUACCACGGUUCGAUGACGGUACCCGAAGAAUAAGCACCGGCUAACUACGUG